rnacentral:rRNA from 1 species
AUUGAACGCUGGCGGCAUGCUUUACACAUGCAAGUCGAACGGUAACAGGCCGCAAGGUGCUGACGAGUGGCGAACGGGUGAGUAAUGCAUCGGAACGUGCCCAGUCGCGGGGGAUAACGCAGCGAAAGCUGUGCUAAUACCGCAUACGAUCUGUGGAUGAAAGCGGGGGACCGAAAGGCCUCGCGCGAUUGGAGCGGCCGAUGUCAGAUUCGGUAGGUGGGGGGGUAAAGGCUCACCAAGCCAACGACCUGUAGCUGGGAUGCGAGGAAGACCAGCCACACUGGGACUGAGACACGGCCCAGACUCCUACGGGAGGCAGCAGUGGGGAAUUUUGGACAAUGGGCGCAAGCCUGAUCCAGCAAUGCCGCGUGCAGGAAGAAGGCCUUCGGGUUGUAAACUGCUUUUGUACGGAGCGAAAAGGCUCUCUCUAAUACAGGGGGCUCAUGACGGUACCGUAAGAAUAAGCACCGGCUAACUACGUGCCAGCAGCCGCAGUAAUAC